AUUUAAAUAGUUUAAGAAAAAUAAUAAAUUGUGGAUUUAUUGAUGUAGUUUUACUUUAAAUA
rnacentral:tRNA from 1 species